GAUGAACGCUGGCGGCGUGCCUAAUACAUGCAAGUCGAGCGAACGGACGAGAAGCUUGCUUCUCUGAUGUUAGCGGCGGACGGGUGAGUAACACGUGGAUAACCUACCUAUAAGACUGGGAUAACUUCGGGAAACCGGAGCUAAUACCGGAUGAUAUUUUGAACCGCAUGGUUCAAAAGUGAAAGACGGUCUUGCUGUCACUUAUAGAUGGAUCCGCGCUGCAUUAGCUAGUUGGUAAGGUAACGGCUUACCAAGGCAACGAUGCAUAGCCGACCUGAGAGGGUGAUCGGCCACACUGGAACUGAGACACGGUCCAGACUCCUACGGGAGGCAGCAGUAGGGAAUCUUCCGCAAUGGGCGAAAGCCUGACGGAGCAACGCCGCGGGAGUGAUGAAGGUCUUCGGAUCGUAAAACUCUGUUAUUAGGGAAGAACAUAUGUGUAAGUAACUGUGCACAUCUUGACGGUACCUAAUCAGAAAGCCACGGCUAACUACGU
rnacentral:rRNA from 1 species